UACAGAGGUCCCAAGCGUUGUUCGGAUUCACUGGGCGUAAAGGGUGCGUAGGCGGUCGGGUAAGUCUGAUGUGAAAUCUCACAGCUUAACUGUGAAACUGCAUUGGAUACUAUUCGGCUUGAGAGUUGGAGGGGGGACUGGAAUUCCUGGUGUAGCGGUGAAAUGCGCAGAUAUCAGGAGGAACACCGGUGGCGAAGGCGGGUCUCUGGGCCGAUAUUGACGCUGAGGAGCGAAAGCGUGGGGAGCGAACAGG
rnacentral:rRNA from 1 species